GAUGAACGCUGGCGGCGUGCCUAAUACAUGCAAGUCGAGCGAACAGACGAGGAGCUUGCUCCUCUGACGUUAGCGGCGGACGGGUGAGUAACACGUGGAUAACCUACCUAUAAGACUGGGAUAACUUCGGGAAACCGGAGCUAAUACCGGAUAAUAUAUUGAACCGCAUGGUUCAAUAGUGAAAGACGGUUUUGCUGUCACUUAUAGAUGGAUCCGCGCCGCAUUAGCUAGUUGGUAAGGUAACGGCUUACCAAGGCGACGAUGCGUAGCCGACCUGAGAGGGUGAUAGGUCACACUGGAACUGAGACACGGUCCAGACUCCUACGGGAGGCAGCAGUAGGGAAUCUUCCGCAAUGGGCGAAAGCCUGACGGAGCAACGCCGCGUGAGUGAUGAAGGUCUUCGGAUCGUAAAACUCUGUUAUUAGGGAAGAACAAAUGUGUAAGUAACUAUGCACGUCUUGACGGUACCUAAUCAGAAAGCCACGGCUAACUACGUG
rnacentral:rRNA from 1 species